rnacentral:rRNA from 1 species
GAUGAACGCUGGCGGCGUGCCUAAUACAUGCAAGUCGAGCGAACAGACGAGGAGCUUGCUCCUCUGACGUUAGCGACGGACGGGUGAGUAACACGUGGGUAACCUACCUAUAAGACUGGGAUAACUUCGGGAAACCGGAGCUAAUACCGGAUAAUAUAUUGAGCCGCAUGGUUCAAUAGUGAAAGACGGUUUUGCUGUCACUUAUAGAUGGAUCCGCGCCGCAUUAGCUAGUUGGUAAGGUAACGGCUUACCAAGGCAACGAUGCGUAGCCGACCUGAGAGGGUGAUCGGCCACACUGGAACUGAGACACGGUCCAGACUCCUACGGGAGGCAGCAGUAGGGAAUCUUCCGCAAUGGGCGAAAGCCUGACGGAGCAACGCCGCGUGAGUGAUGAAGGUCUUCGGAUCGUAAAACUCUGUUAUUAGGGAAGAACACAUGUGUAAGUAACUAUGCACGUCUUGACGGUACCUAAUCAGAAAGCCACGGCUAACUACGUG